rnacentral:rRNA from 1 species
AUUUAUUUUAAUAAAUAUAUUUUUAAUAAUAAAAAAAUAAAAUUUUUAAUGAAAUAAAAUUUUAUUAAUUUAUUAUAAAUUUAAAAUAUUAAAUUUUAAAAAUUUUUUAAAAAACUAGGAUUAGAUACUCUAUUAUUAAAAUAAAUUUUAAAAAAAAUUAAUUAUUAAAUAUUUUAAAUACUAAAAUUAAAAAAUUUGACGGUAUUUUAUUUAAUUAGAGGAAUUUAUUUUUUAAUAGAUAAUAAACUAAAAAAAAUACUUAAUUUUUUAUAUUUAUAUAUUGUUGUUUUAAAAUUUAAAUUAAAAUUUAAAAUUAAAUUUUUUUUUUAUAAAAUUAAAUUCAAAUCAUAAUAUAAUUUAUAUUUAAGUAAAAAAGAAUUACAUUAAAUUAAAAAAUAAUUUUAAAAAAAUAUUUUUUUAAAAAAAUAGAAUUUAAUAAUAAAAUUUAUAAAUUAAUAAGUUUUAAAUAAAAUAUUAAAAUAUGUACAUAUCGCCCGUCAUUCUUAUAAUUAUAAGACAAGUCGUAACAAAGUAAAUUUAUUGGAAAAUGAAUUUAAAUUAUAAAUAAUAU